rnacentral:rRNA from 1 species
UACAGAGGUCUCAAGCGUUGUUCGGAUUCAUUGGGCGUAAAGGGCGCGUAGGUGGUUUGAUAAGGGUGUGGUGAAAGUCCGGGGCUCAACCCCGGAUCUGCCGUGCCGACUGUCAAACUCGAGGACUGUAGAGGCAGACGGAAUUCCGGGUGUAGCGGUGGAAUGCGUAGAGAUCCGGAGGAAGACCGGUGGCGAAGGCGGUCUGCUGGGCAGUUUCUGACACUGAGGCGCGACAGCGUGGGGAGCAAACAGG